AAAAGUCGGGGACACCCGUCACUCUGCCCUGGUUUGAUCCACUUCCUCAAACAGUUCGGAUGCCUGUGCUGGGGCUCGGUUGAAAGUCCGUUUGGCAAGAUUGGAGCUGGAAGCCCGUGAGAAGGCUGAGGCUCGCCAAGCGCACAUGGAGUUUGUAUUAUGAAAGUUGGAAAUAGAAGCUGACAAAGCUGUCAGGCUCCAAAGGUUGGAGCUGGAGGCUCGAGCCCAGGCACUGCCCACUUUGGCCACCACUGCAGCGGCAGCUCCUUCUGUUUCUGCCACCUUUGAUGUGAGCAAGUGCAUUUCCUCUGUGCCUAAUUUCUGGGAUACAGAGGUGGACUCGUAUUUCACCGCAUUUGAGUGCAUUGCAGAAUUACCUCUGAAGGGGAUAACUAUGCUAAUAUGCUAAUGGGGAAUGAUAUAUCUGGUGGUCGUGUAGUAUUAGAUGUUCCUGUAGUUGAUGCUUCACCAGAUUCCCAUUUGUUAUCCAGUUUGUAUCCAGCUUGCGCAGUAAUUUGUGCAUAAGCUCGAAGCCAACGCCAUGCGGCUGGUCUUUCAGACACAGCCUUGUUGCGUUUAUUUGUGGAGGAACCUGUUCCUGUUCACAUUCCUCUGACUGAGGACGUUGCUUCAUGAGAAGCUGAUGAACAGCCUAGCGGAGAAGUCUUGUCAUCAGACCUUGAUUCUGACAUAUUACCACUAGCUAGCGAGAAAUUAAUGGAGGCUCAGGCUUCAUUUUCACUCAUAACAAUAGAAACUGGUUUAUUUAACUUUAACAGCUGUCCACUGCUUACAUUAUUUGUUGCACUCUCUCAUACCCCAAAAGUGGGUCGUAACAAAUUAUUAUUAUUAUUAUUAUUGUUUAUUAUUAUUAAACAUGAGAAGUUUCCUCCAAAAUGGCAAAUAAAUCCCAGGGUGAGUGUGGUGUGUAUUCUCUCUUGAAAUAAGCUAGGCUUUCGCUUGCUAAAGAAUUCUGUAGUGCCAAACCCAAAUCCACGUGAAGGUGUAAAUCGUCAGCCAGACAUGUAUGUGUACAGAGCAUGGACAAACGCUGACGUAAUGAAGGCACCUGAAGGAAUUCCCAAGCCUUGGAAUGUUGAAGCAUGUGUGAGAGAUGUGACUGGUUUGCAGCUGAGUUUCAGAUUGAAUGGUUUGGAGGUGGAAAGAGUGCUGAGAUGUUGGUUGGGUGCACAGUGGCACUCUGUUGCUGGAGACUGGAAUGCAAAUGAUGCAGAUGGUAAUCCUCUCUCAUUUAACAAUGCUGAUUUAAUUCAGAGAAGAGAUGCUCUGUAUGAACGAAUGAGAGCUAGAUGUCAGAAACACGCAGACUGGACUAACAUUAACAGAUGUACUCAGAAAGAAGACGAGAAAGCAGUUGACAGACUGAGAUGUGUUUUUGAUACAGUGGACUGACCAGACCAAACCCACCAAAUCCAACAUUUAUGAUCAACAUUUAAUGAAUGCUUUCAUAACAGGUGUAUUCAGCCCAGUUCAGACAUACAUUACAAAGUAUAUGGUAACACACCUACAACAGGUCCAGAUGAGGUGCUGGAAUAUGCUAAACAUGCAGAAGACUUUCUGAAAGCUAAGAAAAAGAACAAAGA